rnacentral:rRNA from 1 species
GACGAACGCUGGCGGCGUGCUUAACACAUGCAAGUCGAACGGAAAGGCCCUGCUUUUGUGGGGUGCUCGAGUGGCGAACGGGUGAGUAACACGUGAGUAACCUGCCCUUGACUUUGGGAUAACUUCAGGAAACUUGGGCUAAUACCGGAUAGGAGCUCCUGCUGCAUGGUGGGGGUUGGAAAGUUUCGGCGGUAGGGGAUGGACUCGCGGCUUAUCAGCUUGUUGGUGGGGUAGUGGCAUACCAAGGCUUUGACAGGUAGCCGGCCUGAGAGGGUGACCGGCCACAUAGGGACUGAGGUACGGCCCAGACUCCUACGGGAGACAGCAGUGGGGAUUAUUGAACAACGGGCGGAAGCCAGAUGCAGCAACGCCGCAUGCUGGAUGACGGCCUUGUGGUUGUAAGCCGCUUUUGCCAGUGACGAUGCGUUAGUGACGGUAAUGGGUAAAUAAACACCGGCUAACUACGUG